rnacentral:rRNA from 1 species
AUUGAACGCUGGCGGCAGGCCUAACACAUGCAAGUCGAGCGGAUGAAUGGAGCUUGCUCUUGGAUUCAGCGGCGGACGGGCGAGUAAUGCCUAGGAAUCUGCCCGGUCGUGGGGGAUAACGUCCGGAAACGGGCGCUAAUACCGCAUACGUCCAGAUGGUGAAAGGGAUGGAUCUUUGGACCACACCGUAUCAGAUGAGACUAGGUCGUAUUAGCUAGUUGGUGGGGUAAAGGCCUACCAAGGCGACGAUCCGUAACUGGUCUGAGAGGGUGAUCAGUCACACUGGAACUGAGACACGGUCCAGACUCCUACGGGAGGCAGCAGUGGGGAAUAUUCGGCAAUGGGCGAAAGCCUGAUCCAGCCAUGCCGCGUGAGUGAAGAAGGUCUUCGGAUUGUAAAGCACUUUUAGUUGGGAGGAAGGGCAGUAAAUUAAAAUCUUGCUGUUUUGACGUUACCAACAGAGUAAGCACCGGCUAACUUCGUG